GUUUGCCUGACGCAUGCAAAUGCUGCUCUGAAUCCCCUUCAUUCUCCCUACAGCCCAUUUACCCUGGUUCACUGCACCUCGGCGAGGCUGAUGAGGAAAAGCACCAGCCAACGCUGAUCUCUCCACUCGUUCCACAGCUGCCCUUUGGACAGCUACCACGUACGUGGACAGGAGUCUUGGAACCCGGCGUCAGGGUUGCUGCAGCCAGGAAUGCUGGCGCUGAGCUUGGUCUAUGAGACUUGUGCCAGCACUGUCAGAUCUCAGGCUGAUCGACCCUGGGUGCUUGGAAUCAGCCCCGUACACCUGGUUCCCAGAGCUAUGUCAUGGACUCAGAGCAGACGAGGUCACGCCAGCUGGGGCUACUUCUGACACUCAGACCUGUUGACAGUUUCCAAAUGUCCCCCACUAGCAAGAGAACCUACCACGCUGCCGGCUAGCUGCUUCACACUUGGUAGAAGAGACAACGGUGGGGGUUGCAAAUGAAACUGAAAUGAAAUUGGAUACAAAAAGCUCCUCAGAGAUCUUGGCAUCUGGAACUUGCUGCAUGCUACAUGGGAUCUCCAAUCUUACAGCUCAUCAAAGCUGCAGGAGCAGACAAGACAAAACCACACACUGCUACAAAG